UACGGAGGGUCCAAGCGUUAUCCGGAAUCAUUGAGUUUAAAGGGUCCGUAGGCGGUUUUGUAAGUCAGUGGUGAAAGCCCAUCGCUCAACGGUGGAACGGCCAUUGAUACUGCAAGACUUGAAUUAUUGGGAAGUAACUAGAAUAUGUAGUGUAGCGGUGAAAUGCUUAGAGAUUACAUGGAAUACCAAUUGCGAAGGCAGGUUAACUACCAAUAUAUUGACGCUGAUGGACGAAAGCGUGGGGA
rnacentral:rRNA from 1 species